GUGCUUGCUGGAGCAGCACAUAUACUAAUAUUGGAACGAUACAGAGAUUCACAUGGUCCCUGUGCAAAGAACACAUGAAUUCCACAGGAGUGAAAUCAUAUGGUA
ensembl:snRNA U6 U6 spliceosomal RNA